CGCUUUACGGCACUUCCGCCUCUUUUACGACCGGCCGGCGGUGCCGCAGGAGGGCCCAUGACGGCGGCCGAGCGCUCCCCCCCGCCGCGGGAGGAGGAGGAGGAGGAGGAGGAGGCGGCGGGGGGUGAAGGCCCCCAGGCCCCCCCCGGCCCUGGUGCCCCCCCCGGCCAAGCGGGUGGUGCCGGGGGUGCUCUAUCUCCCUUUUCUCCCCCGGGCUUCGGCCCCGCCAGGCCCGGACCCUGCUGGGGCCCACGGGGAGCUGGGGAGGGUCUUCUUCCAGCCCCGCGGCGGGGGGGUGAGGAAGAGGAGGCGUCGGCCGGGCCCUUCCUCCUUCUCCGAAGGCUGGGUGGAAUUUCGGGACAAACGAGCGGCCAAACGAGCGGCCGCCCUCCUGCAGGGAGCACCCAUGGGCGCCCGCCCCCGCAGCCCCUUCCGCCACCCACCGCUGGAGC